rnacentral:rRNA from 1 species
UACGGAGGUGGCAAGCGUUGUUCGGAAUUACUGGGCGUAAAGGGCGCGUAGGCGGUUUGGCAAGUCAGAUGUGAAAUCCCCGGGCUUAACCCGGGAAUUGCAUCUGAAACUGCCUUCCUUGAGUCCUGGAGGGGGUAGUGGAAUUCCCAGUGUAGCGGUGAAAUGCGUAGAUAUUGGGAGGAACACCUGUGGCGAAGGCGGCUACCUGGACAGUGACUGACGCUGAGGCGCGAAAGCUAGGGGAGCGAACGGG